CUGGGACUGGGAGACAACUCGACAGAGCCUCAGCGUCAGGAGCAGAUUUGCAGCAAAAGUAAAGUUUUGGAUGUAAGUGGCCGUAUAUAUAUAAGGCCCUGCAACGGACGAGAUGAAAGUGCGUCGGACGAGGGCUUCCCGGAUGCCGACAUGUGGCAGCGCCUGGACCCUUCCUCGAUCCGAUGGUUCGACGCACUUGCCAC
rnacentral:lncRNA from 1 species